CUUUUUGUUCGUCACUUCUGCCCAAUAGGCAAGAAAUCUUAAUAAUUUGUUUACCAGGUAUGCCCUGUGUCUGCUAGAACUACAGAGUACGAAAAAUAAAAGCCAGGAAUUUUUUAAGACAUAAUGGUGAAAUUACAACAUUCUCAUCUUCAAAUAAGAAGCUUCUUUUACAGGAGAGUUAAAAUGCAAGAUUUAGCUUACUUUGACUCAUUUUCUAAAGAUACAUACAUACAAAUAUGACAUUUAUGUAAAAAAAUUACACUCAGACUUGAUAAUUUGUAGGAAACUUGACGCAUGUUACAAAAGCAAGAGUGAAAAAUAAAUUACCUCCUCAAGUGGACCCAGGCACAGAUUUUAUUGAAGAAGCUCCUCGUAUAAGCAAUUACCAGACCAAGCCUUUACUUCUCCUAAAUCUAUCAACACGGUCAGUGCUCAUCCGAGACUUCUCAGGUUUAUUUGGUUUCUUGGACUUUUCAAGUCUACUAUCUAAACUAUUUCUAGAGAUUUCUGGAAGGUCAGCACCCAAUUCAAAAGUAUCUGAUGUUCCACUCUCAGAUGGUUUGUUCUGAUUUUCCAACUCCACUGUUGUUUUCUUAGAACCAUUUGUAGCUGUUUUAGUUUUGCCUACGGUUAACACAAACUUCUUCAGAUGUCUGAGGAACUCUGGAUAUAGCUCAAGAUUGCAAUGUCCGCCCCCACUUAUCCAUAAUGGUUCAUACUUCUCCUUGCAAAGCUCCCAAAGCUGUUUCCCAUGAUAGCAAUCAACAACUUCAUCUGCUGUUCCCUGGAAGAAGAAAAAAUCAUAAUAACAAUUUCAUCUCUAAUAUCUGCCAACUAAUGCCACACUGAUUGUAUCCUAAUUCCCAUCAACAAUAUUGUCAAAAUAAUUAGUAUUUGAUGAUGGAAUCUGUGAGGAUCAGAUGAAUAUUGCAGAGAAUAUAAAAAUUGCUAACACAAUAUAUAAAGCGAACAACAACGACAAUAACAAAGUACAGAUUAUGAUCUUACAUUCAUCCAACAAUGUAUCCCUGGUUAAUUUACUAUUAAAACAAUCUUUUUACAUUUGAAAUUCUAUAAAAUAAUAAUCUAGCACAUGAAUGCAUAAAAUAAUGCAAUAAGACAUCCUUCAUUCAAGCAGCCAGCUUAUUCGGUGGUUAAUAUUAUGUCCCAAGCAGCCCAAACAAGGAGACAAAUGAAGACAAGGAAGACAGUACUUACAUGAAUUACCAGAACAGGACAAUUCACCAUUCCAAUUUUUUCGAUGUUCUGAAAAGAAGAAAAAUAAGUUAUCACAUGGAGAAUUAAGCAGAAAUAUAUAAUAGAAUUGGAUUUAAUAUCACAAACAUUACCUUGUAAAUGUCAAACCAAUACGUCCUCUUGACUGGGUAUAAUACCCUCAUUCCGGACAAAAUUGGGCUAUGUAGAACCACGCUUCUCAAGUUUGGCAACCUUGAAGCAAGAUCAACUGUAGGUCCACUACCAACAGACUGACCAUAAAGUAUUAAUUGUUCAUCUUUAACCCCAUACUGUUCUCUAAGGCAAUUAUAUGCAGCGUCUAUAUCUGCGUAUGUAUUACAUUCAGUUGGCUGCUUUCAAAGAGCAGCAAUGUUAGGAGCAACAUCAGAUAAUUUCUUAAUAAAAUUUAACCAUUGAUGUGAAAAAACAUGACAACUCAGUUUUUGAUUCCAAAGGAUCACAGCAAAAUUGUAUAGCAGCUCCAAUGUACGCAGAGAUGUCUCACACCAUACUUUUUAUUUAUCUUUUAUAGUCCAACAUCAAAAUUACUCUAGAUGUGGCAUAGACAAUUCAAUAUUUAGUAUCAAGUCCAAAGAAGUGUCAAAAACCAUAGGAACACCUAGGCCUAAUAGGUAAAACCGACUUGAGAAUUUUAGCAAGAAAUUCAAGAAAAAGAAGAUAAGAAAAGGAAAUGAAAAACUUCCAUACACGUAAUUGACAACCAUAAGGAUGUGUUUAAUAAAAAGUUAAAAAAUCAAGACUUAAAUGUUAUCCUUAUAAGUUUUAACAUUUAAAAAGUGUAAUUGUUAACCUAGUCCUCCAAUAUUAACAUUUAACCCCUCAGGAGGGUAUAAACAUUAAUGAGAUGAAAAGUUAAUAUAGUCUCUUUAAAUAUCCAAACAACAUUAAUGAGGGGUUAAAAGUUACAAGGAUAAUAAUUACUCCUUGUUAACCUUGUACCAAAUGCCUCCUAAUUGGAAAUCAAAAUGAAUUGAAGUUCCACAAGAAAAAACAUUAAAGGGAUUUAGAAUUCAUUAAUGAGGACCAAAUACCACCAAGAUCUUGUAACAUUAAAUAUGAAGUGAAAAUUAGAAUGAUAUGGCUGGAAAAUUGAGACAAAUCAUUUCCAUAAUAAUACUUAACUCAACUCAACUCAACUA
rnacentral:misc_RNA from 1 species